GACGAACGCUGGCGGCGUGCUUAACACAUGCAAGUCGAACGGUAAGGCUCCAGCUUGCUGGGGUACACGAGUGGCGAACGGGUGAGUAACACGUGGGUGACCUGCCCUGCACUUCGGGAUAAGCCUGGGAAACUGGGUCUAAUACCGGAUAGGACCGCACCGUGAGGGUGUGGUGGAAAGUUUUUUCGGUGUGGGAUGGGCCCGCGGCCUAUCAGCUUGUUGGUGGGGUAAUGGCCUACCAAGGCGGCGACGGGUAGCCGGCCUGAGAGGGUGGACGGCCACAUUGGGACUGAGACACGGCCCAGACUCCUACGGGAGGCAGCAGUGGGGAAUAUUGCACAAUGGGCGGAAGCCUGAUGCAGCGACGCCGCGUGGGGGAUGACGGCCUUCGGGUUGUAAACUCCUUUCACCAUCGACGAAGGGUUUCUGACGGUAGAUGGAGAAGAAGCACCGGCUAACUACGUGCCAGCAGCCGCGGUAAUACGUAGGGUGCGAGCGUUGUCCGGAAUUACUGGGCGUAAAGAGCUCGUAGGUGGUUUGUCGCGUCGUCUGUGAAAUUCCGGGGCUUAACUCCGGGCGUGCAGGCGAUACGGGCAUAACUUGAGUACUGUAGGGGAGACUGGAAUUCCUGGUGUAACGGUGAAAUGCGCAGAUAUCAGGAGGAACACCGGUGGCGAAGGCGGGUCUCUGGGCAGUAACUGACGCUGAGGAGCGAAAGCAUGGGGAGCGAACAGGAUUAGAUACCCUGGUAGUCCAUGCCGUAAACGGUGGGCGCUAGGUGUGGGUUUCCUUCCACGGGAUCCGUGCCGUAGCUAACGCAUUAAGCGCCCCGCCUGGGGAGUACGGCCGCAAGGCUAAAACUCAAAGGAAUUGACGGGGGCCCGCACAAGCGGCGGAGCAUGUGGAUUAAUUCGAUGCAACGCGAAGAACCUUACCUGGGCUUGACAUAUACAGGAUCGCGCCAGAGAUGGUGUUUCCCUUGUGGCUUGUAUACAGGUGGUGCAUGGUUGUCGUCAGCUCGUGUCGUGAGAUGUUGGGUUAAGUCCCGCAACGAGCGCAACCCUUGUCUUAUGUUGCCAGCACGUUGUGGUGGGGACUCGUAAGAAACUGCCGGGGUUAACUCGGAGGAAGGUGGGGAUGACGUCAAAUCAUCAUGCCCCUUAUGUCCAGGGCUUCACACAUGCUACAAUGGUCGGUACAGUGGGUUGCCAGUCCGUGAGGGCGAGCUAAUCCCGCAAAGCCGGUCUCAGUUCGGAUCGGGGUCUGCAACUCGACCCCGUGAAGUCGGAGUCGCUAGUAAUCGCAGAUCAGCAACGCUGCGGUGAAUACGUUCCCGGGCCU
rnacentral:rRNA from 1 species